rnacentral:lncRNA from 1 species
UCGACUCGCGUUCCACUGGAGUCGACUCGAAUCUCAGACCCGAAAACUGCUUCUGACUUUUCUGCCUGUGACUCCUUGGAGUCGACUCAUACUUCUCCGAAGUCGACUCGGUAAACAUUGGAGUCGACUCGCGCACUUCGGGAGUCGACUCGCUGACAGGUUUUGAAUUGAAGCUUUCUGUUCGUCUGUCUGUUCUCAGUCGGAGUCGACUCGUACCGAUCCGAAGUCGACUCGAGCCCGUGCCAGUGAACUUGAUACGCUUGGAGUCGACUCGUGAUACUCUGGAGUCGACUCGAGUCUCAGACUUUGGUUCAAGCUGACUUCUUAACUUAUCCAAAAUACUAUGAACCAAGUCUAGAGACACUUAGAGAAGAUUUUCACAGAAAACACUUAAUUGAAUUCAUUAGUAAACAAGAAAUAUACUCAAAUACUUUGAGCUCAUCAAAAUCAAAUAGGAUUUUAAUCAAUCACUCCACAAUCUCCCCCUUUUUGAUGAUGACAAAACAUUGAGUAUAUGUAAAGUGAAUUGUACCAUAAACAAUGAAAUAAAAUCCAUAAAUGAAUUCAAAUGUCUGGUAAUUCA